UACAGGGGGGGCAAGCGUUGUUCGGAAUUACUGGGCGUAAAGGGCUCGUAGGUGGCCAACUAAGUCAGACGUGAAAUCCCACGGCUUAACCGUGGAACUGCUCGGUAUACUGGCGAUCUUGAGCCACUUAGGGGCUACCGGAACAAAUGGUGGAGCGGUGAAAUGCGUAGAUAUCAAGAGGAACACCUGCGGCGAAGGCGGGUUGCUGGGCCGACACUGACGCUGAUGCGCGAAAGCCAGGGGAGCGAACGGG
rnacentral:rRNA from 1 species